rnacentral:rRNA from 1 species
GUACACGCUGUGACUAGCAUAUCAAUAAGCGGAGGAAAAGAAACUAACAAGGAUUCCCCUAGUAACGGCGAGUGAAGCGGGAAGAGCUCAAAUUUGAAAUCUUAAAGGGUUUCCCUUUACGAAUUGUAGUUUAAAGAAGUGUUUUCUGUUGAGGUUUUGGUAAAAGUUCUUUGGAAUAGGACAUCAUAGAGGGUGAGAAUCCCGUAUUUGACCUUUACUUUCAACUUUGUGAUACACUUUCAAAGAGUCGGAUUGUUUGGGAAUGCAGUCCAAAAUGGGUGGUAAAUUUCAUCUAAAGCUAAAUAUUGGCGAGAGACCGAUAGCGAAUAAGUACCGUGAGGGAAAGAUGAAAGGAACUUUGAAAAGAGAGUUAAACAGUACGUGAAAUUGUCAAAAGGGAAGGCGUUUGACACCAGUGUUGUUUUUCUGUAAAUCAAUUAAAGAACUGUUUAUGCUAAGUUGUUUAGACUUUAUCAGCUAACUGUUUAGUUUUGAGCUUUUCUUUAAUGCACUUUUCAGUUAACAAGUCAACAUCAAUUUCUUUUGCUGUAAAAAAGCUUGAGGAAGGUGGCUUGAGAUUCGUCUUAAGUGUUUAUAGCCUCUUGCCUAUGCAGUCGGAGAGAUUGAGGUCUGCAGCGUAGAUCCUUCGGGGCUAAAUGCAUUUGUGCUAAGUUAUAGCACUUUCAUAGACAACUUGUUGACUAUGAUUUGUCUUGUAGCUUACUCGCUUAUGUUAUUUUACCUACGCUUAGGAUGUUGACGAGACUGUCGAUCUC